AUUGAACGCUGGCGGCAGGCCUAACAAAUGCAAGUCGAACGAGUGGAGGACGGGUGAGUAAUGUAUGGGAAAAUGCCCGAUGGAGGGGGAUAACUACUGGAAACGGUAGCUAAUACCGGAUACCAUCGUAUGUGCCCAGAUGGGAUUAGCUAGUAGGUGGGGUAACGGCUCACCUAGGCGACGAUCCCGAGCUGGUCUGAGAGGAUGUACAGCCACACUGGAACGUGUACACGGUCCAGACGCCUACGGUAGGUCGCAUUGGGGAAUAUUGCACAAUGGGCGCAAGCCUGAUGCAGCCAUGCCGCGUGUAUGAAGAAGGCCUUCGGGUUGUAAAGUCCUUUCAGCGAGGAGGCGUUACUCGCAGAAGAAGCACCGGCUAACUCCGUGCCAGCAGCCGCGGUAAUAC
rnacentral:rRNA from 1 species